UCUGGUUGAUCCUGCCAGUCUACAAAGCUUGACUUGGAAAUUAAGCCAUGCAUGUCUAAGUAUAAGUUACACAAAGCGAAACUGCGAAUGGCUCAUUACAACAGUUGUAAUUUAUUUGAUGAUUUUCUUACAUGGAUAACCGUGGGAAACUAGGGCUAAUACAUGCAAAAGGCCUUCGGGCUGUAUUUAUUAGUUUCAAACUUAUGCGGCGCAAGUCGCUUAGUGAGGAAUCAAGAUAACUGAUCGAAGCCAAUCUAUUGGCUAAAUCAUUCGAGCUUCUGACCUAUCAGCUUGUUGUUAGUGUAUUGGACUAACAAGGCGGUAACAGGUAACGGAGAAUUGGGGUUCGAUUCCGGAGAGUCAGCCUGAGAAACGGCUGACAUUUCCACGGAAGGCAGCAGGCGUGAAAAUUACCCAAUCACAAUUCGUGGAGGUAGUUAAUAGACAUAACAGUCCCGGCCUUUUAGGUUUGGGAAUGUAAUGAACUCAGUCUAGACAGCUGGGUGAAAUCCAUUGGAGGGCAAGUCUGGUGCCAGCAGCCGCGGUAAUUCCAGCUCCAAUAGCUUUGUUGAAAGUUGCUGCAGUUAAAAAGCUCGUAGUUGAAUGUCCGGCGUCUCUGACGUCUGCCCGAAUCGACUUUAGAUGCCGAAAGGUUUUUACUGCUCGAUCUGGCGUUUACUGUGAACAAAUUAGCGUGCUCAAGACAGGCUUUUGCUUGAAUUUUCUAGCAUGGAAUAAUGAAAUACGACUUCGCUCAUUUUAUUGGUUAUUGGACGAAGUAAUGGUUAACAGGAACAGUUGGGGGCAUUCGUACUUAAGAGUCAGAGGUGAAAUUCUUAGAUUUCUUAAAGACGAACUAAUGCGAAGGCAUUUGCCAAGGAUGUUUUCAUUAAUCAAGAACGAAAGCGUUGGGAUCAAAAAGGAUCAGAUACCCUUGUAGUCAACGCCGUAAACGAUACUGACUAGGGAUUGGUGAGGCUAACCCUCAUCAGCACCUAAUGAGAAAUCAAAGUCUUUGAGUUCUGGGGAGAGUUAACGUAUUCAGCCGAAUACUGGAGGCUCCAGAGCGUUUGAUUUCCUAAAUUCCUCCUAGACCAGCUCUAAAAAGUCGGGCAGCAAUGCC
rnacentral:rRNA from 1 species